GUGCUCACUUUGGAGGCACAUAUACUAAAAUUUGAAGGAUACAGAGAAUAUAUAGCAUGACUUCUGCUCAAGAAUGACACAGAAUCUGUGAAGUGUUCCAUAUUUUU